rnacentral:misc_RNA from 1 species
UACAGGGGGCCCGAGCGUUAAUCGGAAUCACUGGGCUUAAAGGGUGCGUAGGCUGUUUCGCAAGCGUCCUGUGAAAUACCCCGGCUCAACCGGGGAACAGCGGGGCGAACUGCGGGACUUGAGGCAGGCAGGGGCCGACAGAACAGUAGGUGGAGCGGUGAAAUGCGUAGAUAUCUACUGGAAUGCCGAUGGUGAAGACGGUCGGCUGGGCCUGUCCUGACGCUGAGGCACGAAAGCGUGGGGAGCAAACAGG